CGGCAGCACGGGCUUCGGUCUGGUGGCGAGUGGCGAACGGGUGAGUAAUGUAUCGGAACGUACCCUUCAGUGGGGGAUAACUAUCCGAAAGGAUAGCUAAUACCGCAUAUUCUCUGAGGAGGAAAGCGGGGGAUCGCAAGACCUCGCGCUGAUGGAGCGGCCGAUAUCAGAUUAGCUAGUUGGUGGGGUAAAGGCCUACCAAGGCGACGAUCUGUAGCGGGUCUGAGAGGAUGAUCCGCCACACUGGGACUGAGACACGGCCCAGACUCCUACGGGAGGCAGCAGUGGGGAAUUUUGGACAAUGGGGGCAACCCUGAUCCAGCCAUGCCGCGUGAGUGAAGAAGGCCUUCGGGUUGUAAAGCUCUUUCGGCCGGGAAGAAAUCGCGUGAGUUAAUACCUUGCGUGGAUGACGGUACCGGAAUAAGAAGCACCGGCUAACUACGUGCCAGCAGCCGCGGUAAUACGCAGGGUGCGAGCGUUAAUCGGAAUUACUGGGCGUAAAGCGUGCGCAGGCAGUUUUUUAAGACAGGCGUGAAA
rnacentral:rRNA from 1 species